rnacentral:ncRNA from 1 species
CCCCUUGUCGCGUCGGGGUUAUGGCGCGCACCUCCCUGUUGGACCUUGGCCGGGCCUUUGUGCCCGGUCUUUUUU